GGUAAAUCCAAAAUAGCCCUUAUUUGUUGCUUGAGCCUUGUUGGGUGGAUGUCUGGCCAGGACAUCAUUUUUCGGGAUCUUUUCGAUACCGCACGAUAUAGCAGAAAGAAAAAAAAAAAAAUAAUUAAUUAAAAUACAUGGAUCAGUCAAAAAAGGGUUCGUCUCCACGGGACAUGCAAACUUCAUUAUGAAAAAAAGAAAUAUUACAAGAGG
rnacentral:lncRNA from 1 species